CAGCAGCCGCGGUAAUACCGAGGGUGCGAGCGUUAAUCGGAUUUACUGGGCGUAAAGCGUGCGUAGGCGGCUUUUUAAGUCGGAUGUGAAAUCCCUGAGCUUAACUUAGGAAUUGCAUUCGAUACUGGGAAGCUAGAGUAUGGGAGAGGAUGGUAGAAUUCCAGGUGUAGCGGUGAAAUGCGUAGAGAUCUGGAGGAAUACCGAUGGCGAAGGCAGCCAUCUGGCCUAAUACUGACGCUGAGGUACGAAAGCAUGGGGAGCAAACAGGAUUAGAUACCCCUGUAGUCCCUGUCUCUUAUAU
rnacentral:rRNA from 1 species